rnacentral:rRNA from 1 species
AUUGAACGCUGGCGGCAGGCCUAACACAUGCAAGUCGAGCGAGAAAGCCUUCGGGUGAGUACAGCGGCGGACGGGUGAGUAACGCGUAGGAAUCUACCUGGUAGUGGGGGACAACAUGGGGAAACUCAUGCUAAUACCGCAUACGCCCUAUGGGGGAAAGCGGGGGACCUUCGGGCCUCGCGCUAUCAGAUGAGCCUGCGUAGGAUUAGCUUGUUGGUGAGGUAAAGGCUCACCAAGGCGACGAUCCUUAGCUGGUCUGAGAGGAUGAUCAGCCACACUGGAACUGAGACACGGUCCAGACUCCUACGGGAGGCAGCAGUGGGGGAAUAUUGCGCAAUGGGCGAAAGCCUGACGCAGCCAUGCCGCGUGUGUGAAGAAGGCCU